rnacentral:rRNA from 1 species
GAUGAACGCUAGCUACAGGCUUAACACAUGCAAGUCGAGGGGAAACGACAUCGAAAGCUUGCUUUUGAUGGGCGUCGACCGGCGCACGGGUGAGUAACGCGUAUCCAACCUGCCCACCACUUGGGGAUAACCUUGCGAAAGUAAGACUAAUACCCAAUGAUAUCUCUAGAAGACAUCUGAAGGAGAUUAAAGAUUUAUCGGUGAUGGAUGGGGAUGCGUCUGAUUAGCUUGUUGGCGGGGUAACGGCCCACCAAGGCGACGAUCAGUAGGGGUUCUGAGAGGAAUGUCCCCCACAGUGGAACUGAGACACGGUCCAAACUCCUACGGGAGGCAGCAGUGAGGAAUAUUGGUCAAUGUGCGAGAGCCUGAACCAGCCAAGUAGCGUGCAGGAUGACGGCCCUAUGGGUUGUAAACUGCUUUUAUAAGGGAAUAAAGUGAGCCUCGUGAGGCUUUUUGCAUGUACCUUAUGAAUAAGGACCGGCUAAUUCCGUGCCAGCCGCCGCCGUAA